AGAAGCGUACAAGGAGAUGAGG
rnacentral:miRNA from 1 species